UACGGAGGGUGCAAGCGUUGCUCGGAAUUAUUGGGCGUAAAGGGUAGGUAGGUGGUCUCGUUUGUCAGGGGUGAAAGCCUUGGGCUUAACUCAAGAAGUGCCCCUGAAACGGCGAGACUGGAGUGCUGGAGAGGCUAGUGGAAUUCCCGGUGUAGCGGUGAAAUGCGUAGAGAUCUGGAGGAAUACCGAUGGCGAAGGCAGCCUUCUGGCCUAAUACUGACGCUGAGGUGCGAAAGCAUGGGGAGCAAACAGG
rnacentral:rRNA from 1 species